AGACGUCCCGGCGGCGGCUCCUUUUCAGACCUAAGGGUCAUUUUUAAAUCAGAACCUUUCCGUUGCUAUUUACACUUACACACCGUCCAGACUUGCAGCGUGUGGAGCCGCUGCCCUGGGGGGAGAAAUCACGGCACUCACUCCAUCGGGCUGCUCACGAGUCCUGCGCACACGCUGCGGAGUGUUUGGGUCUCUCAAAAUUACCAAUCAAAACCAGGGCGUUCAUCGAUGCCAUAAGAGGAAAAGUGAGGUUUGAAAAGCCCUAGGAGACGAGGCUAACACGUUUCCCUCCACGCUGAACAGAUUUGUCAGUGAAAGUGAAGAGUAGAACACCAAAACCAAAGCCGCCACCUCAUGCACUGUGCUUCUCUCUACCCUGGAAGAAUUUUCUAGGAAUAUACAUCACAUAUGUAGUUGACAUCUGAAUUUUCUUGCCGUCAUUUUAAAUAUUUGGAAAGGAUAUAAUUUCCAACAUUCUGAUAACAGCAUUUUAAAAUUCAGGUUAUACCUUUUUAAAAAAAUACCCAAUGGAAUCUUAAUUAUAGUAGAGAUAUGAUACCCAUUCUCCAUCUUAAGAAAUUUAUGAAAAAACUCUUCUUUCAAAGGCAAACAUCAUUUUCUCCUUUAAGUCAUUCCUAUUCUAUUCAUCCCACAGAACUGUAUGCUAACGUAUCUUUAUGCUUUAAAGCCUUAAUGAUCACAGCAUCUUUUUUUGCAAGACACCCAUACAUAUGUAAUCACAAAACAAAUACUCAUGGCACAUUCUCAGGCAUUUAUGGACAAGUGCAGAGCAGUAAGAAACUCUAAUCAAUUUGUGUGCAUGUCCCAGUGGGACUUGAAGAAGGCCAUGCUCUGCUUUCUUGUUUGUUCUCUAUAAACAAUAUCAUUUACACUAUAAACAAUAUCCUUUACUCAGUCUAGGAAACGUUUUUUGAUUUUUGUACCUUCAUUUGGUGAUUUUACUGUUUUAAAUGGCCUCCAAGAGUAGUGCUAAAGUGCUGCCUAGCAUUCCUAAGCCUAAGAAAGUUGUGAUGCGGCUUACAGAAAAAAUUUGUGUGCUAAGUAAGCUCCGUUCUGGCAUGAGUUAUAGUGCUGUUGGCCGUGAGUUCAUUAUUAAUGAGUCAACAAUAUGAUACAUCCAGAAAAAGGAAGAAGAUAUUCGCAGGUCUGUGAGUGAGGCUGCUCCAGAGAGCGCUAAAGUAACAUCUGUAGUACAUGAGGAAGCCAUGGAAAAGAUGGAAAAGCAGCUAAAUUUGUGGAUUCAUGAGAUGAUGAUCAAAUAAAAAAAAGUAUAGUGGGAAGCAUUGUUGUGAGGCUGAAAGCCAAAGAAAUUUACAGUCACGUAACCCAGGGUCAGGAACAUGUUAAACCCUUCUCAGCUAGUGGAGGCUGGCUUCCAUGUUUCAAAAGACGAUACAGCAUGAAAAACUUUAAACUUGCAGUCCAGGAUGGUUCUGCACACCAGGAAGCUGCAGAAGAACUUAAAAAGUACCAUUGAGUGUUAUACAUGAAAAGGGUUAUGUUGAAGAGCACGUUUUCAAUGCCGAUGAGGUUGGCUUUUUACAAGAAUGUUGGCAAAGGAACUUGAUGAACGUGAUGCAGAAAGCUUCCCAGGAUCCUGAUUCUAAAAUACUCAAAGAUCAUACAACCUUGCUGCUAUGCAUCAAUGCUAAGGGCGACUUUAAAUGCAAGCACCUAAUGGUGCACUUAAAGGGAAGAACUUGAACUGUAUGCCAGUCCACUGGAGAUGGAACCAAAAAGCAUGCAUGGCAUCUGAAAUAUUCCACAAUUGCUUUGUCCCAGAAGUAGAAUGCUGUCUCCAGAGCAAAAAACUUUGCCUUUAGGGUUUUAUUAAUUUUGGAUAAUGCCCCAGUUCAUUGCCAUGAAGAACUAGAAAAUACCCACCCCAAUGUGGAAGUUCUUUUCAUGCCCCCAAAUACUACAUCUCUCAUCUAGCCCCUCAAUCAAGGCAUAAUAAAAGCUUUCAAAGCACAGUACAUGAGAGAGCUGUACAGUAAAGCUUGUGAGACACUUGCUGCCAACCAAGAAGCCACUAUGUUAAAUUACUGGAAAUCAGUGACUAUCCACAAUGUUAUUGAUUAUGUUGGCACAGCUGGGGAUAACAUCAAACAGACUGUUAUCAAUAACUGCUGGGAAACUGUUUGGCCAAAUUGUGUGAAAACUGUUGAAGGCUUUGAAGGUGUUACAGGAAAUAUAAAAAACAUGUCAAAAACAUAAUGCGUACUACACAACAAAUAAGUGGAGAGGGUUUCAAUGACAUGAGGGAAGAAGAUGUGGAGGAAAUUUUGGCAGAGAAGGCAGUAGAACCCACCAACAAAGAUCUGGAUGAGAUGGCAAAAGAUGGUAUCAGAAUCAGUGAUGAAAGUCAAGACAGUGAUGACAGUCAGCCCAUGACUCCAAGAAUUAUUCCUCUUACAGCAGCCAAAAUAUCAGUGGAAUUCUGCCCUGGAAAAACUUUUCAGUGACAUGGAAGAAUGUGACCCUAUGCUUGAAUGCAGUCUCACAUUUAAGCGCCUCACCUCCACUGCAUUUGUCCCUUAUUCAGAAAUGCUUAAAAGAUUUGAGGAGAAAAGCCAGGCAAACAAAGCUGAAGCAGUUUUUCUAGCCAAUUUUAGGGGGAAAGAUGCAAAAUAUAGAACUGCUGGAUCACAACAUACCAUCUCCUUGAUGUUUCCUCUCUCCACAGUAAGUUCCACCAGUCCACCAUUUGGUCUUCACAGGCAAGCCAAGGUCUUCAGGUUAAACCACACCUCCUGCAGUUCCAUCUACAGACAUGCUGUGAAGUGGCGUGAAACACAGGUGAAAGGAGCCCACUUGGCCAUCCAUCCACUGGACAUGUCUUCCAAAUCCAUUGGAAAAGAAAUGAAGCAUCAAGCAGAAAAUUAAGAUUUGGUUGCUAAAUAUCAGAUAAGUAAACUACCUCUCAAAAGUAUACAGCCUACUACCCAGUAGUUUGCUGAAAGACAAUUAAACUUUUAAUAAUGUGCACUUUCUUUUGCUUGCUUUCUUCAACAUACCCCAAAACCCAGCUCCUAUAUGGAGUGCUAGUCACAUAGGGAGAAACAAAAUUUUUUCCACUAGUUUGAAACUGGCCAGAUUUACAAAUAUGUAGAGUCAGAUAUGCCAGAGACGUGACACAUGGAGGAGAUGACCAAGGCUGCAUUGCUUAAAUUAACUCCUAUCCCCUGAGGCUUGGUUCCCACAGACUCCAAAAGCAUGUGAAGUCCUUCAGAGCUGGUGGCAACUUUCCCAAAUUCAUGCCAAUGCCAAAAAUGGAUAAGAAAAUGUUUAAGGAUAAAGCACCCAUCACAUAACCUAGAAUAAAUCUGUCCACAAGCUGCAUGUUUUCCCAAUAAUACUAGAUAAACACAGGAAGUUGCACAUUAGCUGGCAAGUGAAAGCCACCUGGAAAGGACAGAGGUGCUGCCAUGGCUGGAGGUCAGCCCCUUGGGGAUGCCAACAUUGGGCAGUAGCUCAGCCGGCAGAAGGCAUGGCAGAAGCUGGCUGUGCUCCCUCAGUGGAAGACCCCGACUCAGGAAACAAAGAACAGUAGAAAUUCAUAAGAACUCAGACUAAGUCUUGUGGCCAGAGAUUUUCUUCAAAGUUCUACCUGUUCAUCAUAGCCCAGUCACCCUCCUAUGCCAGACAUACUUGUAACUUAACGAAAACAGCCCAGGGGUUACAGCACAGCAUUUUGUGAAUCUGAGCCACUCAUUCCUUGCUUCCUGGGCUCCAUUCUACUUGGCUUCUGAUCCCAUCUCAGAAUAGCUGAUGGUUCCAUUUUUAAAGACCCACUGUUGAAGACUACGUGGAGAAGGCCUGUGGCCUUCGAUGGAAAAGGGGGUCCUUGCCGUGUGUGCUGGUGGCAACAGUGUGAGCACAUGCAUCCCUGCUGACCAGGCAUACCUCACACAAAUGCUGUCUGCUAAUAACCACCACCCAACACCCUGGGACAAGGGAACAUCCCUCCUCCAGCAGCCCCUGAUGGCAUUCCACAUUUAAAUUUCGUUCUCAGAUGUGUCAGGACUGCUGAUGGCUGCCCUGCCAUUUCCCAUUUGGUUUGACUGCUACUCAGAUUCACUUCUGAGAACUCUCCCACACACCCCUGCACACACAGUGACACCAUCUGUGACUGGGCACUCCAGGCAGUAGCCUUUGUUCCAAUCCUUCCCAGCUGAAGAACCUGUCUGUGCUUUUUAAACUGCUCAAGAAGCUGCAUUUAUGGCAAGGAGAAGCCUCAGAGCCAUAUUACAGAAGAUGGGACAUGACCACUUGGGAAGAGUUCCAUUUUGGUCCAUGUUUGAGAGGUUAUUGAAGGAGUGCAGAGAGCACUGGCACAUUGUGCAGAGGAGCCAGUGAAGCAAAAGGGAGGCCUUCACUCGGGAAGAAACAACUAAGGGGUUGGGAACAGCAGAGAACACCAGGGCUAAGCACAUCUCUAUAAAUAGCAGGUAAGCCUUGCCCUAGCAAGGAUAGCCAAGAGCCAGGAGGAGGGUGAGGAACAGCACUAGCCCAGGGUGCUUGCAGGAGGUUAAGGAAAAAAAAAAACUGCAGCAAAAAAUUCAGAGCCAAUGGGACUUUCAUAUUAUCAAUAAGUGGCCAAAAGCUGAUGGGAAACCUCAUUGCCACCCAACACUCAAGUUAUUGGCAGAAUGUGACCUGAGUAAAUAGAGCACAGUUAUCAAUAAGAUGUGCAGCAGUCAUACUUGAGGAAAUAAAAUUUUUAAAAACCACUUAAGACAAACUGACCUUCAUUAGUUGGAGAUAAGGCUGCCAGUAUAUACACAAGAAGUCUGUUCAUAUUACUAUAACUGAGGUAUCUCACUGCUUAUUUAUACAUCAAACCAGAAGUUACAUCACUUCUCUGCCCAAAACCCUUAAAAGUUCCACUCUUUUUCAUGCAGGGAAAAAGCCAAUUCCUAUGAGAGAAUGAGAAGACAAACCACAGACUGGUAAAAGAAGGAUCUGCAAAACACACAGCCAAAGACUUGUAUCCUAAAUAUACAAAGAAUUCUUAAAAAUUAACAAUAAGGAAAAAAAUUAAUGGGCAAAAGAAGCCAGGCUUGGCAAUACACACCUGUAAUGCCAGCAACUUGGGAGGCUGAGUCAGGAGAAUCACAAGUUCAAGGCCAGCCUCAACAUGUAGCAAGAUGCUGUCUCAAAAAAUAAAAAGAUUUGGGGGUGUGGUUUUGUGGUAGAGCAGUCCUGGAUUCAAUCCCCAGUACCACCAAAAAAAAAAAAAGGGUCAAAAGACCUGAAGAGACAACAAAGAAGAUUCCUAGAUGCCAAGUGUGUUAGUCAGCUUUCUGUUACUGGAACAAAUACCUGAAGUAAAUCAGUUUAUAAAGAGGAAGGAUUUACUUUGGCUCAUGGUCAUUUGGCUCUUACUACUUUGGGGCCUGUGGCAAGGCAGGACCAUGUGACAGAAGGGGCCAGGAUCAAAAUAACCCCUUCAAGGACAUGCCCCAGUGAUUCGACUUCCUCCCACUAGGACCCCACCUAUUAAAAGGUUAUACCAUCUCCCAGUAGCACCAUAGGCUGAGACCAAGCCUUCAACACAUGGGCCUUUGAGAGACACUUUCCCAAACCAUAGCACAAGUAAACAUGUGAAAAGAUGCUCCCUAUUAUACAUCACCAGGGAGAUGAAGAUUAAAGUACAGUGUCACUACACACAGAUUUAAAUGAACAGAAUCCAGAACACCGACAACACCAAAUGCUGGUGAGGAUGUGGAGCAACAAGAAUUCACAUUCAUGCCCGCAGAAAUACGAAAUGGUACAGCCACGUUGGAAAGCAAUUGGUGGUUUCUUAUAAGCUAAACGUAGUCUUAUCAUACAAGCCUACAAUUGUGCCCCUUGGUAUUUACCCAAAUGAGUUUUUUUUAAACAUUCUUCUAGUUGUUGAUAGAUCUUUAUUUUAUUUAUUUAUAUGCGGUGCUGAGAAUAGAACUCAGUGCCUCACACAUGCCAGGCAAGUGCACUACUGCUGAGCCACAGCCACAGCCCCCCAAAUGAGUUUUUUAAGAACUUAGGUCCACACAAAAUCUGUAAGCAGAUGUCUUUAUCAGCUUUACUCAUAAUCUCUAAUACUUGGAAUUUACCAGGACAUGAAUGGAUAAACAAAUAAUGGUAUAUCAAACAACAUGUUAUUCAGUGAUUUAAAAAAAAGUUCACCAUCAAACUGAAAAGAUGGAGGAAGCUUAAAUGUAUAUUGAAAGAAGCCAGUGGGAAAAACUAUAUGAUUUCAAAUAUAUAACAUUCUGGAAAAGACAAAGCUGUGGAGACAGAUCAGUAGUUGUCUAGGGCUGAAGGGAGGGAGCGUAAGGGGGCGGAGGAUUUUAGGGCAGUGACACUGUGCUAUACAAUACUAUAAGGUGGAUAUGUCAUUGUACAUUUAUCAGGACCCAAGCAAUGUACAAGAUGAACUAUCAUAGGAACCGUGGGCUUCAGUUCAUUGCUGUGAUCUGAGCGUCCACUCCAAUGCUCAUGUUGAAAAUGCACUGCCGCUGUUGGGAGGCAGGACUGUUAAGCAGGUGGAAGCUCCUUCACAGAUGACCGAAGACUGGCCUAGGUGAGGUGAGCAGGACCUCACUCCCCAAGUACCCCGGAAGCUUGAAGGCCACGAGCAGAGCCAUGCUUGCUGCUGCCCCUCAAGAGCCAGCCUGGAGAGCUGCACAGCAUGGCCAUGGGAUGUGCUUGUCAGGGUGCCCUGAAGGAACCGUGGAUGACAAAGCUGGAAGUCUCCUGCCCCUUAACAAUGUGGCCUCUGUGGUGCUUUCUGGAAGCUUAACCUUCGACACAAGUCUGUAAACAAUUCAACCACACGCUAUUAAUAGAGCCUGUUUUCAAAAGAAACAAAAAUACAUUUAAAAUAGGAAUAAAUGUAACCACAAAAUUCAUUUCCGCUAGGAGAAAUCAGCUACCAGCACUAGUGUGUCGUGGGAUUAGUUAUAUAAUCACAGAUCUUAAAUAAGGUGAUUUCUUCAGCACACAGAAAAGCCAGAGAGAAAUUGCUCAAGAAAACUCUGGGAAGGCUGGAGGGAAGCUGGCUGCUCAGGCAGCCUCCGGUUCCUCCUGAAGAGCCCACAACAGAGGCAGUCAGAGCCAGAAACAUUCUCCAGAAACUCCUAAUUUUCUGUCAAAAUCACUAUAACGUUCUCCCUUAAAUUGAGUGUUAAAGUCAUAAAUCUUUUGGCAUGUGUUCAGAAAACAAUUGACUUUUUCAGAAAAUCUGUCUUUCUAACCAAAAACUUCUGAAACUUUGCUAGCUAUAAAUGGAAACUUAAUGCCACUUAUGAACUUGAACUCUGUCAAGGACAGGAAACUGGUGGAACGUCCCUGGCACAGGGACUUAGUGGUGAGACCCUUGGAACUGAGGGAAAAGAGCCAUCGUGGUCCUCAGUAUUUACAAAUCAGCUAAAACUAGGCCCUUUUAAAAAAGGCGUGUACAAAAUAGAAGACGUCCUGUCAGAACCAGACUUCGUCACAAGAAGCUAUGCAAAAUCAAGACCAACUUGGGACUGUGGACUCCCACUUUAGACUUAAGCCAUUCAGUGUGAACUGGAAGUCCCAGCUGCGUUUACAUGUGCUCUUCUCAGGAUCUGAAGUAACAUACAGCUUCUUCAGAACCAAGAGGGGAAUGUCAUCAGCCCCUUAGGAAGAAAAGUGCUCCGAGUGUGAUAAUAAAGCUCCGUGUACCACACCAAGCAGCAAACAGCAAGGAGAGCCGGCCGUAGAUGACCUACCCUGUGGGACCGCAGGAUCAUCUCACGGCUCUGGGAGGAUUCCUCCAAGACACCAGGAGAAGGAACAGCAGCAGCCCCUUCAGCAGCACCAGCCGCCACUUGAGGUCAGGACGCAGAGGCCUGGGCCACCCACCCAGCCCUCCUGGCCACCUGCAGCUAUCCAGGCAGGAGUCUGAGACUUAUUCUAGGGGGAAAAGUGAACCAAGGAGGCCCAAGACUUGGGAGAGGGCGUGGAGGAAGGCCACGGCAAGGCGGGUCUCCCUGAGGGCCUGCAGUCCUUGCCAGGGGCCUCAGAGGUGACCACCCCACAGGCACAAGCCUCCCAGCCCUGCCAGUGGGCAUGUGGCUUGCUCUUCAGCCAUCACCAAUGAUCUAAGCAGUCCCCAAUGUGGAAGCCAAAUUCCAAGAGACAGCCAGGCAGACCUCGAUGCACACCUGGGACGAGCUCCAAGGUGGUUCCAGAAUUGGCAGGGAGACCAGCCAGGGCUGCGGCUCAGGGGCAGAGCAUUCCUAGCCCAGGGAGGCCCUGGGUUUGAUCCUCAGCCCACAUAAAGACCAACAAAAUAAAGGUACUGUGUCCAUCUAUAA